rnacentral:rRNA from 1 species
CGGCGGAUAGGUGAGUAACGCGUGGGUAACCUGCCUCAUACAGGGGGAUAACAGUUGGAAACGGCUGCUAAUACCGCAUAAGCGCACAGUACCGCAUGGUACCGUGUGAAAAACUCCGGUGGUAUGAGAUGGACCCGCGUCUGAUUAGGUAGUUGGUGGGGUAACGGCCUACCAAGCCGACGAUCAGUAGCCGACCUGAGAGGGUGACCGGCCACAUUGGGACUGAGACAUGGCCCAA